UGAGCGGCGGACGGGUGAGUAACGCGUGGGUAACCUGCCUCAUACAGGGGGAUAACAGUUAGAAAUGACUGCUAAUACCGCAUAAGCGCACAGGACCGCAUGGUCAAGUGUGAAAAACUCCGGUGGUAUGAGAUGGACCCGCGUCUGAUUAGUUAGUUGGUGGGGUAACGGCCCACCAAGGCGACGAUCAGUAGCCGGCCUGAGAGGGUGAACGGCCACAUUGGGACUGAGACACGGCCCAAACUCCUACGGGAGGCAGCAG
rnacentral:rRNA from 1 species